rnacentral:tRNA from 1 species
GAACUCGUCUCCUGCCCUCCGAAGGCAGAGGUCACAGGUUCGAAUCCUGUCGGGUGCG